rnacentral:tRNA from 1 species
GGGCUGUAGCUCAGUGGUAAGUACAUGCUUAGCAUGCUUGAAGCCCUGAGUUCAAUACCCAGCACCCA